AGAAUAACAGUCGCACAAAGCGGCUUUUUUUAUAGCCGAAAAUCAGAAAAUCAAACCUUCCAAAAGGCACCCUCGAAUUG
rnacentral:ncRNA from 1 species